rnacentral:rRNA from 1 species
UACGUAGGGUGCGAGCGUUGUCCGGAAUUACUGGGCGUAAAGAGCUCGUAGGUGGUUUGUCGCGUCGUCUGUGAAAUUCCGGGGCUUAACUCCGGGCGUGCAGACGAUACGGGCAUAGCUUGAGUACUGUAGGGGAGACUGGAAUUCCUGGUGUAGCGGUGAAAUGCGUAGAUAUCAGGAGGAACACCGGUGGCGAAGGCGACUGUCUGGGCAUAAACUGACGCUGAGGUACGAAAGCGUGGGUAGCAAACGGG